rnacentral:rRNA from 1 species
GAGAAGCUUGCUUCUCUGAUGUUAGCGGCGGACGGGUGAGUAACACGUGGGUAACCUACCUAUAAGACUGGGAUAACUCCGGGAAACCGGGGCUAAUACCGGAUAAUAUUUUGAACCGCAUGGUUCAAUAGUGAAAGACGGUUUCGGCUGUCACUUAUAGAUGGACCCGCGCCGUAUUAGCUAGUUGGUAAGGUAACGGCUUACCAAGGCGACGAUACGUAGCCGACCUGAGAGGGUGAUCGGCCACACUGGAACUGAGACACGGUCCAGACUCCUACGGGAGGCAGCAGUAGGGAAUCUUCCGCAAUGGGCGAAAGCCUGACGGAGCAACGCCGCGUGAGUGAUGAAGGUCUUCGGAUCGUAAAACUCUGUUGUUAGGGAAGAACAAAUUUGUUAGUAACUGAACAAGUCUUGACGGUACCUAACCAGAAAGCCACGGCUAACUACGUGCCAGCAGCCGCGGUAAUACGUAGGUGGCAAGCGUUAUCCGGAAUUAUUGGGCGUAAAGCGCGCGUAGGCGGUUUCUUAAGUCUGAUGUGAAAGCCCACGGCUCAACCGUGGAGGGUCAUUGGAAACUGGGAAACUUGAGUGCAGAAGAGGAGAGUGGAAUUCCAUGUGUAGCGGUGAAAUGCGCAGAGAUAUGGAGGAACACCAGUGGCGAAGGCGGCUCUCUGGUCUGUAACUGACGCUGAUGUGCGAAAGCGUGGGGAUCAAACAGGAUUAGAUACCCUGGUAGUCCACGCCGUAAACGAUGAGUGCUAAGUGUUAGGGGGUUUCCGCCCCUUAGUGCUGCAGCUAACGCAUUAAGCACUCCGCCUGGGGAGUACGACCGCAAGGUU